rnacentral:tRNA from 1 species
GGAGGAGUGGCAGAGUGGUUGAAUGCGCUGGUCUCGAAAACCAGUAGGGACCUUGUGUCCCUCAGAGGUUCAAAUCCUCUCUCCUCCGCCA